rnacentral:rRNA from 1 species
AUUGAACGCUGGCGGCAUGCCUUACACAUGCAAGUCGAACGGCAGCACGGGGCAACCUGGUGGCGAGUGGCGAACGGGUGAGUAAUGCAUCGGAACGUACCUUUCAGUGGGGGAUAACGUAGCGAAAGUUACGCUAAUACCGCAUAUUCUGUGAGCAGGAAAGCAGGGGAUCGCAAGACCUUGCGCUGAUUGAGCGGCCGAUGUCAGAUUAGCUAGUUGGUGAGGUAAAGGCUCACCAAGGCGGCGAUCUGUAGCGGGUCUGAGAGGAUGAUCCGCCAAACUGGAACUGAGGCACGGUCCAGACUCCUACGGGAGGCAGCAGUGGGGAAUUUUGGACAAUGGGGGCAACCCUGAUCCAGCCAUGCGGCGUGAGUGAAGAAGGCCUUCGGGUUGUAAAGCUCUUUCGGCCGGGAAGAAAUCGCACGGGCUAAUACCCUGUGUGGAUGACGGUACCGGAAUAAGAAGCACCGGCUAACUACGUGCCAGCAGCCGCCGUAACAC